AUUGAACGCUGGCGGCAGGCCUAACACAUGCAAGUCGAACGGUAGCACAGAGAGCUUGCUCUCGGGUGACGAGUGGCGGACGGGUGAGUAAUGUCUGGGAAACUGCCCGAUGGAGGGGGAUAACUACUGGAAACGGUAGCUAAUACCGCAUAACGUCGCAAGACCAAAGAGGGGGACCUUCGGGCCUCUUGCCAUCGGAUGUGCCCAGAUGGGAUUAGCUUGUAGGUGAGGUAACGGCUCACCUAGGCGACGAUCCCUAGCUGGUCUGAGAGGAUGACCAGCCACACUGGAACUGAGACACGGUCCAGACUCCUACGGGAGGCAGCAGUGGGGAAUAUUGCACAAUGGGCGCAAGCCUGAUGCAGCCAUGCCGCGUGUAUGAAGAAGGCCUUCGGGUUGUAAAGUACUUUCAGCGGGGAGGAAGGGAGUGAGGUUAAUAACCUCAUUCAUUGACGUUACCCGCAGAAGAAGCACCGGCUAACUCCGUGCCAGCAGCCGCGGUAAUACGGAGGGUGCGAGCGUUAAUCGGAAUUACUGGGCGUAAAGCGCACGCAGGCGGUCUGUCAAGUCGGAUGUGAAAUCCCCGGGCUCAACCUGGGAACUGCAUUCGAAACUGGCAGGCUGGAGUCUUGUAGAGGGGGGUAGAAUUCCAGGUGUAGCGGUGAAAUGCGUAGAGAUCUGGAGGAAUACCGGUGGCGAAGGCGGCCCCCUGGACAAAGACUGACGCUCAGGUGCGAAAGCGUGGGGAGCAAACAGGAUUAGAUACCCUGGUAGUCCACGCUGUAAACGAUGUCGACUUGGAGGUUGUUCCCUUGAGGAGUGGCUUCCGGAGCUAACGCGUUAAGUCGACCGCCUGGGGAGUACGGCCGCAAGGUUAAAACUCAAAUGAAUUGACGGGGGCCCGCACAAGCGGUGGAGCAUGUGGUUUAAUUCGAUGCAACGCGAAGAACCUUACCUACUCUUGACAUCCAGAGAACUUAGCAGAGAUGCUUUGGUGCCUUCGGGAACUCUGAGACAGGUGCUGCAUGGCUGUCGUCAGCUCGUGUUGUGAAAUGUUGGGUUAAGUCCCGCAACGAGCGCAACCCUUAUCCUUUGCUGCCAGCGAUUCGGUCGGGAACUCAAAGGAGACUGCCAGUGAUAAACUGGAGGAAGGUGGGGAUGACGUCAAGUCAUCAUGGCCCUUACGAGUAGGGCUACACACGUGCUACAAUGGCAUAUACAAAGAGAAGCGACCUCGCGAGAGCAAGCGGACCUCAUAAAGUAUGUCGUAGUCCGGAUUGGAGUCUGCAACUCGACUCCAUGAAGUCGGAAUCGCUAGUAAUCGUGGAUCAGAAUGCCACGGUGAAUACGUUCCCGGGCCU
rnacentral:rRNA from 1 species